rnacentral:rRNA from 1 species
UACGGGGGGGGCAAGCGUUGUUCGGAAUUACUGGGCGUAAAGGGCUCGUAGGCGGCCAACUAAGUCGGAUGUGAAAUCCCCAAGCUUAACUUGGGAACUGCAUCCGAUACUGGAUGGCUUGAAUCCGGGAGAGGGAUGCAGAAUUCCAGGUGUAGCGGUGAAAUGCGUAGAUAUACUGGAGGAAUACCGGUGGCGAAGGCGGCAUCCUGGACCGGCAUUGACGCUGAGGAGCGAAAGCUAGGGAGCAAACGGGAUUAGAUACCCCAGUAGCUCGACG